rnacentral:rRNA from 1 species
UACGUAGGGGGCAAGCGUUAUCCGGAUUUACUGGGUGUAAAGGGAGCGCAGACGGUAAAGCAAGUCUGAAGUGAAAGCCCGCGGCUCAACUGCGGGACUGCUUUGGAAACUGUUUAACUAGAGUGCUGGAGAGGUAAGCGGAAUUCCUAGUGUAGCGGUGAAAUGCGUAGAUAUUAGGAAGAACAUCAGUGGCGAAGGCGGCUUACUGGACAGUAACUGACGUUCAGGCUCGAAAGCGUGGGGAGCAAAC